UACGUAGGGGGCAAGCGUUGUCCGGAUUCAUUGGGCGUAAAGAGCGUGUAGGCGGCCAGGUAGGUCGGUUGUGAAAACUGGAGGCUCAACCUUCAGAGGUCGACCGAAACCAUCUGGCUAGAGUCCGGGAGAGGAGAGUGGAAUUCCUGGUGUAGCGGUGGAAUGCGUAGAGAUCCGGAAGAACACCGGUGGCGAAGGCGGCCUGCUGGGCAGUGGCUGACGCUGAGGCGCGACAGCGUGGGGAGCAAACAGG
rnacentral:rRNA from 1 species